rnacentral:ncRNA from 1 species
GAUCUAUGCAACCACGGUUUCAUAGACAUGGUUUGGAAAAUCCAAGAGAGCCCUAUUCUUUCAGCGAAGCUGUAAACAUAUCAACAAUG